rnacentral:rRNA from 1 species
CCUACGGGAGGCAGCAGUGGGGAAUUUUGGACAAUGGGGGCAACCCUGAUCCAGCAAUGCCGCGUGAGUGAAGAAGGCCUUCGGGUUGUAAAGCUCUUUUGUCAGGGAAGAAACGGUUUGGCCUAAUACGCUGGACUAAUGACGGUACCUGAAGAAUAAGCACCGGCUAACUACGUGCCAGCAGCCGCGGUAAUACGUAGGGUGCAAGCGUUAAUCGGAAUUACUGGGCGUAAAGCGUGCGCAGGCGGUUAUGUAAGACAGAUGUGAAAUGCCCGGGCUCAACCUGGGAACUGCAUUUGUGACUGCAUGGCUAGAGUUUGGCAGAGGGGGGUAGAAUUCCACGUGUAGCAGUGAAAUGCGUAGAUAUGUGGAGGAAUACCGAUGGCGAAGGCAGCCCCCUGGGUCAAGACUGACGCUCAUGCACGAAAGCGUGGGGGAGACAAACGAGGUAUUAGACUACCCGUGGUACGUCCACGACCCUAAACGAUGUACUACUAGUUGUCGGUUACUUAUGUACGUUGGUAACGNAGCUACGCGUGAGUAGACCGCCGUGGGAGGUACGGUCGCGAGAAGUUAAACGUUAAAGUAGUAGUUAGAGGCGUGAGAGUAGACGACGGACGACGACGAGGGAGGAGG